UACGGGGGGGGGCAAGCGUUGUUCGGAAUUACUGGGCGUAAAGGGCGCGUAGGCGGCCUGCUAAGUCGAACGUGAAAUCCCCGAGCUCAACUCGGGAACUGCGUCCGAUACUGACAGGCUUGAAUCCGGGAGAGGGAUGCGGAAUUCCAGGUGUAGCGGUGAAAUGCGUAGAUAUCUGGAGGAACACCGGUGGCGAAGGCGGCCUGCUGGGCAGUUGCUGACGCUGAGGCGCGACAGCGUGGGGAGCAAACAGG
rnacentral:rRNA from 1 species